CCGCCGCGCCGGCCGCUGGAGCGAGCGCCACCCGGGCCACCUGGCUGCGGCGAAGCGGCGAGACUCGGUGGCCACCGCGGGACUCCGAGGAGCUGCGGCCGCUGAGCGCAUCGGAGGGCGGGCGCGCCGAGGCGCCGGGUGGGAGCGGAGGUGCGGAUAGGGACUCUUUACCGGAAGUCGGAGGGGUCAGACGGAAGCAGAACCAUCUUCACUUCUGCGGGGACCUAGUUUGCCCCCACCUGAUGCAACCCAGAAAAUGGACUGACUGCGAGUGCCUUGGGGCGGAGAAUGUGUCUUGCUACGUGUAAAGCACCUAGAACCCUGCCAGAUUCAGGGGACACAGCAUCCUGCCGUUUUCCUGCCGUCCCCCGCCCGCCACACAGUAGGCGCUCCAGUGGCUCGGGGCAUCUACCAGGCAGGCCGCGCUGUCCUGCCCUGCCGGGGCUGGAGUGGAGCAACCCUCCGGGGCCACCCACAUCUGGGUACCUUUUCCCCACUUUUUCCACCCCAGCCGCGCACAGUCACCAGAAAACUCUUUUAGAAAUACAAACACUUGGCCUGGCGCGGUGGCUCACACCUGUAAUCCCAGCACUCUGGGAGGCCGAGGCGGAUGGAUCACCUGAGGUCAGGAGUUCAAGACCAGCGUGGCCAACAUGGUGAAACCCCAUCGCUACUAAAAAUACGAAAAAAUUAGCUGGGCGUGGUGGUGGGCAUCUGUGAUCUCAGCUACGCAGGAUGCUGAGGCAGGAGAAUCGCUUGAACCCAGGAGGCGGAGGUUACAGUGACCAAAGAGGGCACCACUGCACUCCAGCCUGGGCAACAAGAGCGAAACUUUAUCUAAAAAAAAUAAAAAUAAAAAAAUACAAUCACUUUUCUCUGAUUGGAAUCAAGGUCCCAGAAUACAAUCUUAAGAACAAGUUUUGGCCAGUGUGGUGGCUCACGCCUGUAAUCCCAGCACUUUGGGAGGCAGUGGCCGGUGGAUCACCUGAGGUCAGGAGUUCGAGACCAGCCUGGCCAAUUUUUAGUAGAGCCCAUCUCUACUAAAAAUACAAAAAUUAGCUGGGUGUGGUGAUGCGCACCUGUAGUCCCAGCUACUUGGGAGGCUGAGGCAGGAGAAUGGUGUGAACCUGGGAGGCGGUGCUUGCAGUGAGCGGAGAUCACACCACUGCACUCCAGCCUGGGCGACAGAGCGAGACUCCGUCUCAAAAAAAAAAUAGUAAGUUUCAGGUCGAUGGAAGUUGAAUAAGAAGGCCUAGGCUGGAUACAGUGGCCUACACCUAUAAUCCCAGCACUUUGGAAGGCCAAGGCAGGCAGAUCCUUUGAACCAAGGAGUAGGAGACCAGCCUGGGCAACAUAGUGAGACCCUCCUCUCCAUAAAAAAUUUUUCAAAAUUAAAAAAAAAGAAGGCCUGAAGCUGACAUAGCUGAGAAAGUUUGUUUUAACUCACUACCAUUGAAUAAAAACUUAAUAGUUUUAUCAAGAUAUAAUUUACAUACUAUGAAAUUCACCUAUUUUGUGUACAAUUUAAUGAUUCUCAGUAAAUUUACACAGUAAAUUUGCACAACCAUUGCCACUAAUUUCAGAACAUUUCCAUUACCCCAAAAAGAUCCUUCACGAUGGUGGGCAGUUUGGUUCCCAUCCUUAGCCCCAGGCAACCACUCAUCUACAUUUUCUCUCUAUGGAUUUGUCCAGAUUUUUCACAUAAGUAGAAUCUUACAGCAUGCAGCCUUUUGUGUCUGCCUUCUUUCAUUUGUCAUAAUGUUUUUGAGGUUUAUCUAAGGUUGUGGCAUGUAGCAGUAUUUCAUUCCUUAUUAUUGCUAUGUCAUAUUCCAUGUAUGGACAUACCACAUUUUGUGUCUACUUUCCAAUUGUGGAUGUUUAGAUUGUGUCAACUUUUUGAGUAUUAUGAAAAUGCUGCUGGGGCUGAGAUUGGUGGCUCACUCCUGUAAUCCCAACACUUUAGGAUACCGAGAUGGGAGGAUCACUUGAAUACCCCGGAGUUUGAAACCAGCCUGGGCAACAUAGAGAGACCCUGUCUCUAUGAAAAACUUUAAAAAUAAAAAAUUAGCUGGUUGGCUGGGCGUGGUGGCUCAUGCCUAUAAUCCCAGCACUUUGGGAGGCCGAGGUGGGUGGAUCACCUGAGAUCAGGAGUUCGAGACCAGCCUGGCCUACAUGGUGAAAUCCCGUCUCUACUAAAAAUACAAAAAAUUAGCCAGGCGUGGUGGCGGGCACCUGUAAUCUCAGCUACUUGGGAGGCUGAGGCAGGAGAAUUGCUUGAACCCAGGAGGCGGAGGUUACAGUGAGCCGAGAUUGCACCAUUGCACUGAAGCCUGGGUGACACAGCAAUACUCUGUCUCCAAAAAAAAAAAAAAAAAAAAAUUAGCUGGUCAUGGUGACACGCACCUAUAGUCCCAGCUACUAGGGAGGCUGAAGCAGAAGGACCGCUUGAGCCCAGGAGAUCGAGGUUGCUGUGAGCUACGAAUGCGCCACUGCACUCUAGCCUGGGCAACAGACCAAGACCCUGUCUCGUUCAGUUAAUAGAGUUGCUAAAACACACACACACACACACAAAGAAGAAGAAAGAAAAAUAAUAAUGCUGCUAUGAACAUUUGUGAACAUAUAUCUUCAUGUGGAUAUAUGUUUUCAUUUAUCUUGGGUUGGUUCCUACAAACGAAAUUGUUGGGUGAUGUGGUAAGUUUAUUUAGUUAUUUUUAUUUUAUUUAUUUAUUUAUGGAAACUACCUUUUCUCUGGACUUCAGAAGGCUUAAGCUUUAUAUGAAAAUAUCAGAGUAGGCUGGGCACGGUGGCUCAUGCCUGUAAUCCCAGCACUUUGGGAGACUGAGGUGGGCUGAUCACCUGAGGUCAAGAGAUCGAGACCAUCCUUGCCAACAUGGUGAAACCCUGUCUCUAUUAAAAAUACAAAAAUUAGCCAGGCAUGGUGGCUCACACCUGUAAUCCCAGCACUUUGGGAGGCCAAGGCGGGCAGAUCACGAGGUCAGGAGAUCAAGGCCAUCCUGGCUAACACAGUGAAACCCCGUCUCUACUAAAAAUACAAAAAAAUAGGUGGGUGUGGUGGCGGGCGCCUGUAGUCCCAGCUACUUGGGAGGCUGAGGCAGGAGAAUGGCAUGAACUCGGGAGGCGGAGCUUGCAGUGAGGUGAGAUGGCGCCACUGCACUCCAGCCUGGGCAACAGAGCGAGACUCUGUCUCAAAAAAAAGAAAAUACAAAAAUUAGCUGGGCAUGGUGGUGUGCGCCUGUAGUCCUAACUACUCGGGAGGCUGAGGCAGGAGAAUCGCUUGAACCUGGCAGGCAGAGGUUGCAGUGAGUCAAGAUCAUGCCACUGCACUCCAGCCUGGUGACAGAGUGACACUCCAUCUCAAAAAAAUAAUAUAUAUAUAUAUAUAUAUUAGAGUAAUGCACCUUAAAAGAAGUGGUGUGUCAGGCAGCCUCUAUGGCGGUCCCAAAUGAUUCUUGCCUCCUGGUGUUCAGACACUGUGAAAUCCUCCCCACCUGAAUUUUAAAACAAUACUUUUUUUUUUUUUUUUCGAGACAGGGUCUUACUCUGCCAACCAGGCUGGAGUACAGUUCCACAGUCUGGCUCACUGCAGCGUCUGCCUCCCAGGCGGUCCCGAGCAAUCCUCCCAUCUCAGCCUUCAGAGUAUCAGGGACUACAGGCGUGCACCACCACACCCAGCUAAUUUUUGUUAGUUUUGGGGGAUUUGUUUGUUUGUUUUUAGGCAGAGUCUUGCUGUCUUGCCCAGGCUGGAAUGCAGUGGCACAAUCUCAGUUCACUGUAACCUCCACCUCCUGGGUUCAAGUGAUCCUCCCCGCUCAGCCUUCCAUGUAGCUGGGAUUAUAGGCACUCACCACCAUGUCCAGCUAAUUUUUGUAUUUUUAGUAGAGACGACAUUUUUUCGUGUUGGCCAGAACUCCUCACCUCAAGUGAUCUGCCUGCCUUGGCCUCCCAAAGUGCUGGGAUUACAGGUGUGAGCCACCACACCACCCAACCAACAAGUGAACAUUUUGAAUGCUCUCCUUUCCCCCAAAUGAUUUUCAGACACCCCUUUAAACAAAAGCAGAGAGUCAGAGAGUUGUCUGCAAAGGCAGUGAACAGUACUCUCCUGAAAGAGUUCUGAUAUUGAGAAGUGUUGCUAAAAUUUCAACUUCAAAAAUAGCUAUGGUCAUUUCAGCCACUAUUUCAGAAAUGAAAAAAUAUCUCAAGUGAGAGAGCUUGGAGACAGACCUGCAGACUUGAGAAUCUAGUCCAGUAGAUUCUAUACUUGCUUUCUGAUUUUCAUUGACCCUUCAGCAAGCCACAGGGCCCUUUUAUUAGCCUGUUAAUAAUUUUCUUUUCUUUUCUUUUCUUUUUUGUUUUUUUUGAGACAGAUUCUUGCUCUGUUGCCCAGGCUAGAGUGCAGUGGUGUGAUCUCAGCUCACUGAAACCUCCACCUCCUGAAUUCAAGUGAUUCUUCUGCCUCAGCCUCCCGAGUAGCUGGGAUUACAGGCGCCUGCCACUGUGCAUGGCUAAUUUUUGUAUUUUUAGUAGAGGUGGGGUUUCGCCAUGUUGGCCAGGGUGGUCUCAAACUCCUGACCUCAUGAUCUGCCCGCCCCGGCCUCCCAAAGUGCUGGGAUUACAGGUGUGAGCCACUGCGCCCAGCUUUUUUUUUUUUUUUUUUUUUUUUGGAGACAGAGUCUUGCUCUGUCACCCAGGCUAGAGUGCAGUGGCACAAUCUCAGCUCACUGCAACUUCCGCCUCCUGGGUUCAAGCGAUUCUUCUGCCUCAGCCUCCUAAGUAGCUGGCACUACAGGUGUGCGCCACCACACCUGGCCAAUUUUUUUAUUUCCUUUUUUUUUUUUUUUUUUUUUUUGAGACAGAGUCUCGCUCUGUCACCCAGGCUGGAGUGCAGUGGCGCAAUCUCGGCUCACUGCCAGCUCCGCCUCCUGGGUUCACGCCAUUCUCCUGCCUCAGCCUCCCAAGUAGCUAGGACUGCAGGUGCCUGCCACCAGGCCUGGCUAAUUUUUUGUAUUUUUAGUAGAGACGGGGUUUCACCGUGUUAGCCAGGAUGGUCUCGAUCUCCUGACCUCGUGAUCCGCCCGCCUCGGCCUCCCAAAGUGCUGGGAUUACAGACGUGAGCCACCGCGCCUGGCAAUUUUUUUAUUUCUAAUAGAGACACGGUUUUGCCAUGUUGGCCAGGCUGGUCUCGAACUCCUGACCUCAGGUGAUCCACGCACCUCAGCCUCCCAAAAUGCUGGGAUUACAGGCAUGAGCCACCAUGCCCGGCUGAGCCUGUUAAUUUUCAUCACUUCAAUGAUUAAUCAAGUCUCGGGAUUUGGGGAUGACAAACUGAUGGAGCUAUGUGGAGCAGAACUGUGAAGAGUGAUUUGCUUGCACUCACUACAGAAGCACAUAUCACGUGAUCCAGUAUUCCUGGCAAUUCACAUUUCUGCAAUCAUGCCUUUUCAUUUCUCUUCCCUUGAUCUUGCUUAAUGUAUGAUGGUAUAUUAUUCACUAAAUACUCUUGAUUUCACUUUCAAAAGCAUGAAAAUUAAUUCAAAUCAGAACUAACUUGCAUCCCCCCAAAUUCAUCCUCUUCAAGUUUUUGUAUAGACCAAUCCUCAUUUAAAAAAAAAAAAAAAAGCUGAUGUAAUAUCAAAAAUAGGACCAUGGCUAAUUAAACCAAUGUUUUUUUUUCUAACCACAGUUACUCAGAAUUCGUAGAGGCUCAUCUAUUUGUAGACACUCCAGGAAUCCCAAAAGAGUAAAUGCAAUAAAAAACAUUAUUUUUUAAAAAAUGAAAAGUGUUUGGGGGAGAGGGCUUCCAGGAAGGGAUUAUUUAUAUACCUUGUAUGCAAAGUAACAACUUUCCCAUAGCUUUGAAAAAAGUGGAGGGUGGGGAGCUGCAAAAUUGUAGAGAACACAGCAACAUUAUUUAAAGAACUUUUAAAUGAGCCAUUCCCUCCAAACGAGCACACUCCUGGUUGUUAAGUUGCUCGUUUUGUUUUACCUUGUGGGAUAGAAUAAUGAUGCAGUAACAUUAUUCACAAGGCAAAGCUGGUUGCCAGCUGAAAUAGACACAGAAGAAAGAAUUCUUUAUUUUUCAUUGGAAAUGCUUGGGCUCUGCAGAGCCAGAAAUUUAAAGAAACUCAGCCUUUUGUUUUUCCUCUUUCUCCCUUUUUUGUUUUUAUUCACCCUCUUUUUGGGGGUGAGUUUGGUGGGCAGCCUGUUGUUUCAGGGCCACAGAUUUAUGGAAAGCCAAAGAUCUGAAUUAUGCAUGAUUUGGAGAAUGCAGGAAGGGAUUUAAAAUGGAUGUGUGCAGACCAGUGACAGCUGAACUGGCCAUUAGCAUGGGAUCUUGUUAGUUUGCUACGGGAUAUGGUGAGUCCUACAAUGGAACCCCAGAAGAGUCAGACUAUAAUGAAUACUGACAUUGCUGACCUUCGAUCUCAGAAUAGGGACUUGGAUACUUGUUCCCCAGUAGAAUCACAUAUGGGCUUAACCAUACACACCGUUUUGCUUAAGCCCUCAUAUUAUCAAAAUAUUUAUUUUCCACAAGGUAAGGCAGGGCUAGAGAACAAUAAUGAAAAUAAUAAUUGUAGACCUUUACAUGGCAUUUACUAUGUGCCAACCAUGUUCUAAGUGCUACCUGCACAAUAACUUGCUCAUUGAAUCCUUGUAACAACCUGCUGCUUCUCAAUGCCAAGGACAGUUUUGCCCCAGCUCCAUCGCCCCCUCAGGAGACAUUUGGCAAUGUCUAGACACAUUUCUGUUUGUUACGAUUGGAGGGGAAUGCCCCUGGCAUCUUGUGAGUACAGACCAGGUAUGCUGUUUGUGAUAUUGUUAAAUAUAGGUAUUUGGUGUUUGUUCUGGUUUUCUGGCACGCAACUCCUAAAAUUCUCAAAAUCUCCAAAGUGAUGGACAGCCUCAGUAUGAGGGCUGGACAUAGGAAAGACAAUAAUGACAGGGUUGGGACUCUUCAGCCCCAUCCCCCAGCCUCUGGGGAGGGAAAGGAGGCUGAAGGUUAACUUGAUCACCAGUGGCCAAUGAUUUAAUCAAUCAUGCCAAUAGAAUGAAGCUUCCAUAAAAAUCAAGAAGAGCUGGGUUAUGAGAGCUUUUAUUUAUUAUUAUUAUUUUUUUUUUUGAGAUGGAAUCUUGCUCUGUCACACAGACUGGGUUGCAGUGGCGUGAUCUCAGCCCUGUGCAACCCCUGCCUCCCUGGGUUCAAGCGAUUUUCAUGCCUCAGCCUGCUGAGUACUGGGAUUACAGGCAUGCGCCACCACGCCCGGCUAAUUUUUGUAUUUUUAGUAGAGACGGGAUUUCACCAUGUUGGCGAGGCUGAUCUCGAACCCCUGGCCUCAGGUGAUCAAACCGCCUCGGCCUCCCAAAAUGCUGGGGUUACGGGCAUGAGCCACUGCACCUGGCCUAUUUUUUUUUUUCUUUGAGUCGGAGUCUCGCUGUGUUGCCCAGGCUGGAGUGCAGUGGCGCGAUGUCAGCUCACUGCAAGUUCCGCCUCCCAGGUUCACGCUAUUCUCCUGCCUCAGCUUCCCAACUAGCUGGGACUACAGGCGCCCGCCACCAUGCCUGGCUAAUUUUUUUUUUUUUUUUUUGUAUUUUUAGUAGAGACGGGUUUUCACCGUGUUAGCCAGGAUGGUCUUGAUCUCCUGACCUUGUGAUCCGCCCGCUGAGCUAGAGCAAUCCUUCUGUCUAAGCUGUCCAAAGUGCUGGGAAUACAGGCAUGAGCCACCAUACCCAUCCCUGAGAGCUUCUAGAUAGCUGAAGAGGUGGAGGUUCGUGGAGUGUGACUUGCCCCUUCCCACAUACCUUGCCCUGCACCUCUCUUCCAUCUGGCUGUAUCUUUUGUAAUAACAGAAGUGUUUCCCUCAGUUCUGUGACCCACCCUAGCAAAGUAAUCAAACCUGAGGAGGGGAUCGUGGGAACCCCGAUCUCUUGCUGGGGCCCUGAUUUACAGCCUGUUUUUGUGACUGGCAUCUGAAGUCGGGGGUGUGAUCCGAUGCUAUCUCCAGGUAGAUAGUGCCAGAAUUGAAUUGAAUUAGAGGUGCCCAGAUGCACACUCCAGAAUUGCUUGCUUGAUAUGUGGUAGGGAAAAGCCCCCACACAUCUAGUGUCAAACGCAUUUUUUUUUUUUUUUGAGGCAGAGUCUCCCUCUGUCACCCAAGCUGGAGUGCAGUGGCGCAAUCUCGGCUCACUGCAACCUCCACCUCCUGGGUUCAAGCAGUUCUCCUGCCUCAGCCUCCUGAGUAGCUGGGAUUACAGGCACGCACCACCAUGCCCAGCUAAUUUUUGUAUUUUUUUCGAAGAGACAGAGUUUCACCAUGUUGGCCAGGCUGGUCUUGAACUCCUGGCCUCAGGUGAUCCGUCUGCCUUGGCCUCCCAAAGUGCUGGGAUUACAGGCCUGAGCCACUGCGCCUGGCUGGUGUCAGAAGCCUUUUUUUUUUUUUUUUUUUUUUUUUUUGAGGUGGAGUCUUGCUCUGUUGCGCAGUCUAGGGUACAAUGAUGUGAUCUCGGCUCACUGCAAACUCCGCCUCCUGGGUUCAAGCAAUUCUCCAGCCUCAGCUUCCCGAGUAGCUGGGAUUACAGGCACCCGCCAUCAUGCCCAACUAAUUAUUGUAUUUUUAGUAGAGACGGGGUUUCACCAUGUUGGCCAGGCUGGUCUUGAACUCCUGACCUCAGGUGAUCUACCCACCUCAGCCUCCCAAAGUGCUGGGAUUACAGGCGUGAGCCACCGCCCCAGCCCAGAAGCGUUCUAUGUUGUAUUGUGAGAGUAUAGGAGAAUCCAAAUUUGUUUUUUUCUAUGUCCUUAUACUGUUGAACACCCUAUAAUGCACAGGACAAUCUCCCAGCACAAAGAAUUAAUCCAGCCCAAAAUGACGAUGGUGCUGAGGUUAAGAAACCCUGUAGUAACCCUGAGAAGUAGAUAGGAUUAUUAUUCCCCUUUUACAGAUGGGGAGACUAGGGCAUACAGAGAGUGAGUCACUUUGUCUAAGGGCACAUUUAUUAAAUGGUAAAGGUGCAAUUCGAACCCAGAAAGUCUGUUUCCAACAUCCGGGUUCUAAACUGCUUUCCUAUAUGGAAUAGUAAAGGCCUGGCCGGGUGUGGUGGCUCACGCCUGUAAUCCUAGCACUUUGGGAGUCCGAGGCGGGAGGAUUGCCUGAACUGAGGAGUUCGAGACCAGCCUGGGCAACAUGGUGAAACCCUAUCUCUACUAAAAUACAAAAAAAAAAAUUAAAUAGCUGGGCAUGGCGUUGUGCGCCUAUAGUCCCAGCUACUUGGGAGGCUAAGGCAGGAGAACUGCUUGAACCCAGGAGGUGGAGGUUGCAGUGAGCCAAGAUCGUGCCACUGUGCUCCAGCCUGGCGACAGAGCAAGACUCCAUCUCAAAAAAAAAAAAAAAAAAAAAAAAAGUAAAGGCCUAAGGUGGCUCUCUUGAAAAAAAUCAGCUUCUCUCCUUUGUCUCAUCAAAUACAGGGCUCUAGUGAACUGGCACCACUGAUGACUGCCUGUUUCUUUAUUCAAGGAAUAGUGAUUAUUAUAGAAGUCACCACCUGCAAGGGACAAAUUGGCAAUGCCUUAAAAACUGACAGUGCACGCAUGUUGGUUCCUAUAGGAAAAAAAUUAAUUAAAAACAAAAACAAAAACAAAAAAACCAGGCACAGUGGCUCAUGCCUGCAAUCCAAGCACUUUGGGAAGCCGAGGCGUGUGGAUCACCUGAGGUCAGGAGUUUGAGGCCAGCCCGGCCGACAUGGUGAAACCCCGUCUCUACUAAAAAUACAAAAAAAAAAAUUAGCUGGGCGUGGUGGCGGGUGCUUGUAAUCCCAGCUACUUGGGAGGCUGAGGCACGAGAAUUGCUUGAACCCAGGAAGCCAAGGUUGCAGUGAGCUGAGAUCGUGCCACUACACUGCAGCCUGGGUGACAAAGUGAGGCUCUCUCAAAAAUAUAAUAAAAAUUAAAAAAUAGGCCAGGCGCAGAGGCCCACGCCUGUAAUCCUAGCACUUUGGGAGGCCGAGGCGGGUGGAUCACCUGAGGUCAGGAGUUUGAGACCAGCCUGACCAACAUGUAGAAACGCUAUCUCUACUGAAAAUACAAAAUUAGCCAGGCUGGUGCACAUCCCUGUAAUUCCAGCUACUCGGGAGGCUGAGCAAAGAGAAUCGCUUGAACCCAGGAGGUAGAGGUGGAGGUGAGCCAAGAUCAUGCGAUUGUACUCCAGCCUGGGCAACAAGAGUGAAACUCCAUCUAAAAAAAUACAUAAAAAUAAAGUAAAUGAAAAAGAAUUAGCUGGGCGUGGCGGGGCAUGCCUGUGGUCCCAGCUACUCAGGAGGCUGAGGUGGGAGGAUCACUUGGGCCUGGGAGGUCAAGGCUGCAUGCAGUGAACCAUGAUUGUGCCACUGCACUCCAGCCUGAACAACAAAGCGAGAUCAUGUCUCAAAACAAAAAAAGAGGCUGGGCAUCAUGGCUCACGCCUGUAAUCCCAGCACUUUGGGAGGCCGAGGCGGGCAGAUCAUUUGAGGUCGGGAGUUUGAGACUAGCCUGGCCAACAUGGUGGUGAAACCGUGUCUCUAUUAAAAAUACAAAAAUUAGAGCCGGGCAUGGUGGCUCACACCUGUAAUCCCAGCACUUUGGGAGGCCAAGGUGGGCGGAUCACAAGGUCAGGAGUUCGACACCAGCCUGGCCAAUAUGGUGAAACCCCAUCUCUACUAAAAAUAUAAAAAAUUAGCCGAGUGUGGUGGUGUGCACCUGUAGUCCAAGCUAAUUGGAAGGCUGAGGAAGGAGAAUCACUUGAACCCAGGAGGCAGAGUUUACAGUGAGCCAAGAUCAUGCCACUGCACUCCAGCCUGGAUGACAGAGUGAGACUCUAUCCCAAAAAAACAAAAAACAGGCUGGGCGCAGUGGCUCACACCUGUAAUCCCAGCACUUUGGGAGGCCGAGGCGGGCAGAUCACGAGGUCAGGAGAUCGAGACCAUCCUGGUAACACGGUGAAACCCCCGUCUCUACUAAAAAUAGAAAAAAUUAGCCGGGCGUGUUGGCAGGCACCUGUAGUCCCAGCUACUCGUAGUCCUAGCUACUCAGGAGGCUGAGGCAAGAGAAUGGCGUGAACCCAGGAGGCAGAGCUUGCAGUGAGCCGAGAUUGCGCCACUGCACUCUAGACUGGGCGACACAGCCAGACUCUGUCUCAAAAAACAAACAAACAAACAAACAAAAAUUAGCAGGGCUUGAUGGUAGGUGCCUAUAAUCCUAGCUACUCAGGAGGCUGAGGCAAGACAAUUGCUUCAACCCAGGGGGUGGAGCUUAGUGAGCUGAGAUCGGGCCACUGCACUCCAGCCUGGGCGACAGGGAGAGACUUCGUCUCAAAAAAUAAAAAGAGCUGGGGGCAUGUUGGCCCAUGCCUAUAAUCCCAGCACUUUGGGAGAGUGAGGCAGGCAGAUCACGAGGCUGGGUGAUCGAGACCACCCUGGCUAACACAGUGAAACCCGGUCUCUACUAAAAAUUCAAAAAAAAUUAGCCAGGUAUGGUGGCCUGCACCUGCAGUCCCAGCUACUCGGGAGGCUGAGACAGGAGCGACAGGAGAAUUACUUGAACCCAGGAGGUGGCGGUUGUAGUGAGCCAAGUUCGCACCACUGCACUUCAGCCUGGGUGACAGAGCAAGACUCCAUCUCAAAAAAAAAAAGAAAAGAAAAGAAAAGAAAAGAAAAAAUAUCUUAUUGUCUACACCACUUUACUUUUGUGUUAUUCAAACAGAAACUACCAUUUUCAAACUCUAGGCAGGAAAUCCUAAGUCACACAGAAAUAGAAAGGAAAGGCCAUUUUCAGGAAGAUUUUUUUGUUUUGUUUUGUUUUUAUUUGUUUGUUUUGAGACACAGUCUAGCUCUGUCGCCCAGGCUGGAGUGCAAUGGCAUGAACUCGGCUCACUACAACCUCUGCCUCCCGGGUUCAAGCGAUUCUCCUGCCUCAGCCUCCCGAGUAGCUGGGAUUACAAGCGCACACCACCACGCCCAGCUAAUUUUUGCAUUUUUAGUAGAGAUGGGGUUUCACUGUGUUGGCCAGGCUGGUCUUGAACUCCUGACCUCGUGAUCCGCCCGCCUCAGCCUCCCAAAGUGCUGGGAUUACAAGUGUGAGCCACCACGCCCAGCAGGAAAUUUAAUCCUGCAUGCUUUUCUGCCACAUUUGGAUUUUUUUCUGCUGAAAUGUCAUAUUGGCCAAAUAUAGGAGCAGCAGAAGCAGGCAGAGCCCUCUGCUCCUGUUGUCACCUACAUGGAGUCAAUCUGAGCAUAGUGGGUACUUAAUAAUUUGAUCUGAGACUAAUUCUCAAUUUUUGCAAGUUUGCUUAAUUGGGCCUGCAAUGGCACAUGCUUCCUAUGCACCUGCUAAUGGCUACCAGCCAUGGGCCAGGACGAUGGGGCCAACAUCCAACGCUACCCACAAUGACCCAAGCAAUUCCAGGCAGUUAGGGGACCUUCUUUACCUAAGUGUUGCCAUCGUAUGUGAUUUCAGUGGAGAAGUUUCCUUUUUUUUUUUUUUUUUUUUUUGAGACAGGGAUUAGCUCUGUCAUCCAGGCUUGAGUGCAAUGGUGUGAUCUCAGCUGACUGUAACCCUCUCCUCCCAGUGAUCCGCCCACCUCAGCCUCCCAAGCAGAUACAUGCGCACAGGGACAGGGAUCACAGUUGCACACCACCAUGCCUUGCUAAUUUUUGUAUUUUUUUGUAGAGACGUGGUCUCACCCUGUUGUCCAGGCUGGUCUCAAACUCCUGGGUCAAAGUGAUCUAUCUGCCUCGGCCUCCCAAAGUGCUGGGAUUACAGGUGUGAGCCACUGUGCCUGGCCCAGAAUUUUCAUUCUCCCACUGGAUGAAGCCAUUUUUUUUUUUUUUUUUUUUUGAGACGGAGUCUCGCUCUGUUGCCCAGGGUGGAGUGCAGUGGCGCGAUCUCGGCUCACUGCAAGCUCCGCCUACCGGGCUCACGCCAUUCUCCUGCCUCAGCCUCUGGAGUAGCUGGGACUACAGGCGCCCACCACCACGUCCGGAGAGUUGUUUUUUUUUUUUGUAUUUUUAGUGGAGAUGGGGUUUCACCGUGUUAGCCAGGAUGGUCUCGAUCUCCUGACCUUGUGAUCCACCCGCCUCGGCCUCCCAAAGUGCUGGGCUUACAGGCAUGAGCCACCGCUCCCGGCCGAAGCCAAUUUUUAUUGCAGUUAGUUAAUAGCUUGUGAUGUCGCCUUGCAGGCAUUGGGAAAAGCAUCAUUCUAAGUUCAUCAGAAGACACUGGAACCAAGAAACCACAGGAGCCUUCAGGGGAUCUACUCUUGGUCACUAGCCUUCUGCAGGCUUGAAAGAGGUUAGAACUGAGGCUCUCUGUGAGUUGGUCUCACUCUUCUUUGAUCAGGGUUCUUGUUUCUUUCCAUGUACAUGUGACUAAUCUCUAUCCUCAGAGGGUCAACACAGGACAAAUCUUGAUGCAGCAAUAAGCAAUUUAUAGUCUCCUGGUGUCCUGAAAAUGACUCAAGAAAUCCCGUUACUAUGAUUUCUAAUGAUCUUGACAUGCGAAUUUAUUUUUCAGUUAUGUAACCCUUUUUAAAAACUUCCUGAAUAUUUGUGUAUUCGUUAGCUUCUGCUGUGUAACAAACCACUCACCCCCAACAUAGUGGCUGAAAACAACAGAUGUUAUUUCUUUCUUAAGAUUCUGAGAGUUGGCUGGGCACGGUAGCUCACGCCUGUAAUCCCAGCACUUUGGGAGGCCGAGGCAGGCAGAUCACCUGAGGUCAGGAGUUCAAGACCAACCUGACCAACAUGGAGAAACCCCAUCUCUACUAAAAAUACAAAAACAUUCAUUCUGUCACCCAGGCUUAAGUGCAGUGACAAAUCCCAUCUCUACUAAAAAUACAAAAAAGCCAGGCAUGGUGGUGAACACCUGUAAUCUCAGCUACUCAGGAGGCUGAGGUGGGAGAAUCGCUUGAACCUGGGAGGUGGAGGUUGUGGUGAGCCGAGAUCGCACCAUUGCACUCCAGCUUGGGCAACAAGAGCAAAUCUCCAUCUCAAAAAAAUAAAAAUUUUCUGAGAGUUGGCUGGACACUUCUCUUCUGAGCUAGUUCAACUGGGGUUGGAUGGUCUAGGAUGUUCUCACUGACAUGUCUGGCAACUGGCUGUUGGUCACCUGUGGAUGAUAGGGGCAGCAUAGCCACAGGUCUGUAGUCAUCUAGCAGGCUAGCCUGGACAUAUUCACAUGGCCGUACAUACUAGGUUCCCAAGAACAGCAAGAGAAGGCAGGCCCCACUGCACAGGCACUUUUUUUUUUUGGAGACGGAGUUUCGCUCUUGUCACCCAGACUGGAGUACAAUGAUGCGACCUCGGCUCACUGCAACCUCCGCCUCCCAGGUUCAAGCAAUUCUUCUGCCUCAGCCUCUUCAGUAGCUGGGAUUACAGGAAUCUGCCACCAUGCCCAGCUAAUUUUUGUAUUUUUAGUAGGGACAGGGUUUCGGCAUGUUAGCCAGGCUGGUCUCGAACUCCUGACCUCAGGUGAUCCUCUCACCUCAGCCUCCGAAAGUGCUGGUAUUAUAGGUAUAAGCGAUUGCACCCAGCCUUUUUUCUGAAACAGGAUCUUGCUCUGGCACCCAGGCUAGAGUACAAUGGCAUGAUCACAGUCACUGCAGCCUUCACCCCCGGGCUCAAGCAAUCCUCCCACCUCAGCCUCCCCAGUAGCUGAGACCACAGGCACGCACUACCAGGCCUGGCUAAUUUUUGUAUUUGUUGUAGAGCCAGGGUCUCCCUGUGUUACCCAGGCUGGUCUUGAACUCUGCACAGGCACUUUUCAGGUCUUUUCUUGUGUCACAUUUUCUAAUGUCACAUUAGCCAAAGCAAGACAUGUGGCCAAACACAAAAUUUGAGGGGUAGGGAAAUAUACAGCCAAAUAACUUUGCAAAGGAUGGGCAUGUAGGGAGGAACCAAUUGGUGGCUUUUUUGUGUAAUCAUCACAAUUGGAGGCGAGAUAUUUGAAUAUCAAUACAAAAACUUUUAUUCUUUCUUUAUUUACUUUUUGAGACGGAGUCUCGCUCUGUCGCCCAGGCUGGAGUGCAGUGUCGUGAUCUUGGCUCACUGCAAGCUCCGCCUCCCGGGUUCAUGCCAUUCUCCUGCCUCAGCCUCCCAAGUAGCUGAGACUACAGGCGCCCGCCACCACGCCCAGCUAAUUUUUUUGUAUUUUUAGUAGAGAUGGGGUUUCACCGUGUUAGCCAGGAUGGUCUGGAUCUCCUGACCUCAUGAUCCGCCCACCUCGCCUCCCAAAGGCUGGGAUUACAGGCGUAAGCCACCACGCCUGGCCGAAAACUUGUUCUUUUAACAAGAUGCCUUCCGGAAUGCAGAACAAAGCUGAGAAGCCUUCUUUUAACAACCUGAUGAUUUCCAAACUCUAGAUUCUUGGUCAUCUCACCCUGGACUAUUAGAACCAUCCUGAUGAAAAUAGCACCAGGUAUAGUUUCUGCACAGCUGCUUGUCCAGAAAUGUGUGACCUUGGGAAGGUCAUCCUCAUUGUUCUUCAUCGAAAACAAGGGGUUAUACUAGAUCUUCUCAAAUUGCAAGGAACCUUUCAGAGGUCAUGUUUCAGGAAAAUGAAAGAACAGGCCAUAUGUGGAAUGGCCCAAUCGCUGCCUGUAGAGAUAAGACAGCCAGAGAGGCUGAAAUUUUCAGCUUUCAUCCAGAUUUUGGCAUGGGCUGUGAGUCUAUGAUUUUUCAACUUUUCCUUCUCGUAGGCUUGUUUAAACCCUUUGAUCUCAUUUUAUUGUGCAAUAUUAUUACACCACUUUACAAAUAGACCAUUUAUUCCAGGCUGACCGUAAAAGUCAUUCCCGGCUGGGUGCAGUGGCUCAAGCCUGUAAUCCCAAUACUUUGGGAGUUCGAGGCAGGCAGAUCACCUAAAGUCAGGAGUUCGACACCAGACUGACCAACAUGUAGAAACCCCGCGUCUACUAAAAAUAGGAAAAUUAGGACCUGGCACAGUGGCUCACACCAGUAAUCCCAGCACUUUCGGAGGCCAAGACGGGCGGAUCACCUGAGGUCAGGAGUUCAUCACCAGCCUGGCCAACAUGGUGAAACCCCGUCUCUACUAAAAAUACAAAAAUUAGCCAGGAGUGGUGGCACAUGCCUGUAAUCACACCUACUCGGGAGCAUGAGGCAGGAGAUCUGCUGGAACCCAGGAGGCGGAGGUUGUAGUGAGCCGAGAUCGUGCCACUGCACUCCAGCCUGGGAGACAGAGUGAGACUCCGUUAAAAAAAAAAAAAAUAGGCCGGGCGUGGUGGCUCACGCCUGUAAUCCCAGCACUUUGGGAGGCCGAGGCAGGCAGAUCAUGAGGUCAGGAGAUUGAGACCAUCUGGCUAACAUUAGUGAAACCCCAUCUCUACUAAAACUACAAAAAAAUUAGCCGGCUGUGGUGGCGGGCACCUGUAGUCCCAGCUACUCGGGAGGCUGAGGCAAGAGAAUGGCGGGAACCCUGGAGGCAGAGCUUGCAGUGAGCCGAGAUCAUGCCACUGCACUCCAGCCUGGGAGUGCAGACAGAGCGAGACUCCAUCUCAAAAAUAAUAAUAAUAACAAUAAUAAUAAAAGUACAAAAAUUAGCCAGCGUGGUGGCAGGCGCCUGUAAUCUGAGCUACUAUGGAGGCUAAGGCAGGAGAAUUGCUUGAACUCAGGAGGCCAAGAUUGCAGUGAGUCAAGACGGCACCACCGCACUCCAGCCUGAGCAACAGAGCGAGACUCCAUCACAAAAAAAAAAAAAAAAGUUAUUUCUGUCCCCUAUGGCUUGAAGGGCACUCAUACUCAUAGUUAGCAGAAUCUUCAAUAAUACUAGAGCUUAAAUGGGAGAGAGUCAUACAGUAGAUGCUUGAAAAUGUUCAAAUAAAUGAAGGCCAGGAGGCUGGAUGCAGUGACUCACACCUGUAAUCCUAGCACUUUGGGAGGCCAAAGUGGGAGGAUCUCUUGAGCCCAAGAGUUUGAGACCAGCCCUGGCAAUAUAGUGAGACCAAGUCUCUAUAAAAAAAAAAAAAAAAAUUUUUUUUUUUUUUGAGACAGAGGCUUGCUCUGUUGCUCAGGCUGGAGUGCAGUAUCAUGAUCUCCGCUCCUGCAACCUCCGCCUCCCGGGCUCAAGCGAUUAUCUUGCCUCAGCCUCCUGAGUAGCUGGGAUUACAGGCACCUGCCACCACGCCCAGCUAAUUUUUGCAUUUUUUUAGUAGAGUCAGGGUUUCACAAUGUUGGCCAGGCUGGUCUUGAACUCCUGACCUCACGUGAUCCUCCUGCCUCAGCCUCCGAAAGUGCUGGGAUUACAGUCGUGAGCCACCGCACCUGGCCUCAAAAAUUUUUUUAAAUUAGCCGGGCAUGGUGGCACGCAUCUGUAGUCGCAGCUACUUCAGAGGUUGAAGUGGGAGGAUUCCUUGAGCCUGGGAGGUUGAGGUUGCAGUGAGCCAUGAUCGCAGCACUGCACUCCAGCCUGAGCAACAGAGCAACACCCGGACUCAAAGAAAAAAAAAGACAAGAAAAGAAAGAAGAAAGGCAACUGAAUAAAGAGAAUCUACUUACAGUAUUUCCCUAAGCAUGCCCAAUUGGACUUUUUUUUUUUUUUUUUGAGAUGGAGUCUUACUUUGUCACCCAGGCUAGAGUGCAGUGGUGCAAUCUUGGCUCACUGCAACCUCUGCCUCUGGGUUCAGGUGAUUCUCCUGCCUCAGCCUCCCAAGUAGCUGGGACUAUAGGCUCACGCCACCAUGCCCGGCUAAUUUUUGUAUUUUUAGUAGACACAGGGUUUCACCAUGUUGGUCAGGCUGGUCUCGAACUCCUGACUUCGUGAUUCACCUGCCUCAGCCUCCUAAAGUGCUGGGAUUACAGGCGUGAACCACUGUGUCUGGCCCAACUGGAUUGCAUCCUCCACCUCCCGAGUUCAAGCAGUUCUCUGCCUCAGCCUCCCGAGUAGCUGGGAUUACAGGCGCCCACCACCACACCCAGCUAUUUUUUUUUUUAUUUUUAUUUUUAGUAGAGACAGGGUUUCACCAUCAUGGCCAGGCUGAUCUUGAACUCCCGAUCUCGUGAUCCACCUGCCUUGGCCUCCCAAAGUGCUGGGAUUACAGGCGUGAGCCACCACGCCCAGCCUCCAUAGACUAUUUUUUAAACAAUUUUACUCAGGUAUAAGUCACACCCUAUACAAUUCACCCAUUUAAAGUAUAUAGUUCAGUGAGUCUUUUAGUAUAUUCACACAGCUUUGCAACCAUCACCAUAGUAUAAUUUUAGAACAUUUUUGCCGGUCAUGGUAGCUCACACCUGUAAUCUCAGUGCUUUGAGAGGCUAAGGUAGGAGGAUUGCUUGAGGCCAGGAGUUCAAGAUCAGCCUGGGCAAUGUAGCGAGACCCUGUCUCCACAAAAAAUAAUCAGAAAAAUUAGCCAGGCAUUGGGGUGCAUGCCUGUAGUCCCAGCUGCUAAGAAAGCUGAGGCAGGAGGAUCACUUGAGGCCAGAAGUUGGAGGGUAGAGUGAGUUAGGAUGGUGCCACUGCACGGCAGCCUGGGUGACAGAACAAAACUCUUUUUUUUUUUUUUUUGAGAUGGAGUUUCGCUUUUGUUGCCCAAGCUGGAGUGCAAUGGUGUGAUCUUGGAUCACUGCAACCUCUGCCUCCUGUGUUCAAGCAAUUCUCCUGCCUCAGCCUCCCGAGUAGCUGGGAUUACAGGCACGCACCACCAUGUCCAGCUAAUUUUUUGUAUUUUUAGUAGAAACUGGGUUUCACCAUGUUAGCCUAGCUGGUCUCGAACUUCUGACCUCAGGUGAUCAGCCCCACCUGGCCUCCCAAAGUGCUGUGAUUACAGGCGUGAGCAACCGCACCAAGCCUUUUUAUUUUUUUUUUUUUUGUGGGUACCUAGAAGGUGUAUAUAUUUACGGGGUACAUGAGAUGUUUUGUUUUGCUUUGAGAUGGAGUCUUGCUGUGUUGCCCAGGCUGGAGUGCAGUGGCGCAAUCUUACCUCACUGCAACCUCCACCUCCUGGGUUCAAGCAAUUCUCCUGCCUCAGCCUCCCGAGUAGCUGGGAUUACAGGUGUGCACCACCACGUCCGGCUAAUUUUUGUAUUUUUAGUAGAGGCAGGGUUUCACCAUGUUGGCCAGGCUAGUCUCAAACUCCUGACCUCAAAUGAUCCACCCACCUUGGCCUCCCAAAGUGCUGGGAUUACAGGCGUGGGCCACCGAGCCUGGACACGUGAAAUGUUUUGAUACAGACAUGUCAUAUGUAAUAAUAACAUCAUGGAGGCAAGGAGCUGUUUUGUUUUAUUUUGUUUUGUUUGAGACAGGAUCUCUCUCUGUCACCCAGGCUGGAUUUCAGUGGUGCGAUCUUGGCUCACUGCAGCCUCCACCUCCCAGAUUCAAGGGAUCCUUCUACCUCAGCCUUCCAAGUAUCUGGGACUACAGCCAGGUGCCACCACUCCCAGUUAAUUAAUUAAUUAAUUAAUUAAUUUGAGACACAGUCUUGCACUGUCACCCAGGCUGUAGUUCAGUGGCGUGAUCUUGGCUCACUGCAGACUCUGCCUCCCUUGUUCAAGUGAUUUUGGUGCCUCAGCCUCCCGAGUAGCUGGGAGUGCAAUGGCGUGAUCUUGGAUCACUGCAACCUCUGCCUCCUGUGUGCAAGCAAUUCUCCUGCCUCACACAAGCAUGUGCCACCACACCCAGCGAAUUUUUUUUUUUUUUUUUUUUUUUGGUAUUUUUAGUAGAGGCGGGGUUUUGCUAUGUUGGCCAGGCUGGUCUCAAACUCCUGAGAUCAAGUGAUCCACCCGCCUGGGCCUCCCAAAGUGCUGGGAUUACAAGCGUGAGCCACCAUGCCCAGCCUUCCCAUUGAGAUUUUUUUUUUUUAAUUUUAAAUUUAAAUUUUUUUUUUAGAGAUGGGGACCUGCCAUGUUUCCCAGGCUGGACUUGAACUUCUGGCCUCAAGCAAUCCUCCAUCUCAGCCUCCCAACGUGUCGGGAUUACAGGCUUGAACCACCACACCCAGCCCCCACUAAGAUUUCUAAUGGACUCCCUGAAUUUAGGACAUAGUCAGAGCUCCAGUCUCCUCUUCCCAGUUUCCCCAUCUCAGGACACUCUACCUCCAGUCUUCCAGUUGCUCAAUAAAACAACAACCUAGACCUAGACUUGUCCUUGGCUCCUCUUUUUCUCAUUCCCUCUCUUCAAUGCAUCAGCAAAUAUGAUUCGCUUGGCAUUCUGCAAUUUCUCCCACUUCUGUCACUAACACCCUUGUCCAACCACCAUCAUCCUCCCCACUGAGGGUUGCUGGAGCCUUCUAACAUGUUUCCCUGUUUCCAGUCUUAGCCCCAUCAAGUCCAUUUUCCAAACAGCAGUCAGAGCAAUCCUUUUAAAGUGCCAGUCAUAGGACGUGCCUCCACUGCUAAGAACCUCUGAAUGCCUCCCAUGUCAGAGUAAAUGCCACCUGUCUUUUUUUUUUUUUUUUUUUUUUUUUUUUAGAUAGAGUCUUACUCCGUUGCCCAGGCUAGAGUGCAAUGGCAUGAUCUUGGCUCUACUAACCCCUCCUGGAUUCAAGUGAUUCUCUUGCCUCAGCCUCCCGAGUAGCUGGGAUUACAGGCGUGUGCCACCACACCUGGCUAAUUUUUAUAUUUUUAGUAGAGACGGGGAUUUACCAUAUUGGCCAGGCUGGUCUUGAACUCCUGACCUCCGGUGAUGCGCUCGCCUCAGCUCCCAAAAUGCUGGGAUUAUACCUGUGAGCCACCACACCCGGCCAAUGCCACCUGUCUUUUUUUUUUUUUUUUUUGAGACUGAGUCUUGCUUUGUGGCCCAGGCUGGAGUGCGGUGGUGCAAUCUCAGCUCACUGCAACCUCCCCAUCCCAGGUUCAAGCGAUUCUCCUGCCUCAACCUCCUGAGUAGCUGAGACUACAGGCGUGUGCCACCACACCUGGCUAAUUUGUUGUAUUUUUAGUAGAGAUGGGGUUUCACCGUAUUAGCUCAGGAUGGUCUUGAACUCCUGAGCCCAAGUGAUCUGCCCGCCUCAGCCUCCCAAGGUGCUGGGAUUACAGGCGUAAGCCACCAUGCCCGGCCAAUGCCACCUGUCUUAACGUGACUUAGAAGGUCCUAGAUAUCCAAUCCUUCACUACUUUCUCAGCUUUCACCUCCUUCCACUCUGCAACUUGUGCAGAGUAGGCCCUUUGCACUUGCCACUCCCUCUGCCCAGAAUGCCCUUUCCCCAGGUAUUCACAUGGCUCAGUCCUUCAUUCAGGUCCUUGGCCUUAUUUUAUUUUAUUGUUGAGACAGGGUCUCCCUCUGUCGCCAGGCUGGAGUGCAGUGGUGCGAUCUCGACUCACUGCAACCUCCACCUCCCGGGUUCAAACAACUCUUGUGCUUCAGCCUCCCGAGUAGCAGGGACUACAGGCGCAUGCCACCAUGCCCAGCUAUUUUUUUUUUUUUCAGACAGAGUCUCACUCUGUCGCACAGGCUGGAGUGCAGUGGCACGAUCUCGGCUCACUGCAAGCUCCGUCUCCCAGGUUCACGCCAUUCUCCUGCCUCAGCCUCCCAGCCUCCUGGGACUACAGGCGCCCACCAUCAUGCCCGGCUAAUUUUUGUAUUUUUAGUAGAGAUGGGGUUUCACUGUGUUAGCCAGGAUGGUUUCGAUCUCCUGACCUCAUGAUCUGCCCACCUUGGCCUCCCAGACUGCUGGGAUUACAGGCGUGAGCCACUGCGCCUGGCCACCCAGCUAAUUUUUGUAUUUUUAACACAUACGGGUUUUCACCAUGUUCGCCAGGCUAGUCUUGAACUCCUGACCUCAAGUGAUCCACCCUGCUUUGGCCUCCCAAAGUGCUGGGAUUACAGGCAUGAGUCACCUUGGCCUUAUUUUAUUGUAUUUUUUUGAGAUGGAGUCUUGCUCUGUCACCCAGGCUGGAGUGCAGUGGCGUGAUCUCGGCUCACUGCAACCUCCACCUCUUGGGUUCAAGUGAUUCUCGUGCCUCAGCCUUCUCAGUAGCUGUGACUACAGUCACCCGCCACCACGCCCAGCUAAUUUUUUAUAUUUUUAGUAGAGACAGGGUUUCACCAUGUUGGCCAGGAUUGUCUUGAACUCCUGACUUCAAGUGAUCUGCCCGCCUCGGCCUCCCAAAGUGCUGACAUUACAGGUGUGAUCCACCGCGCCCAGGCUCUUUUCUUUUCUUUUUUUUUUUUGAGAGAGGGUCUCCUGCUGUCAUCCAGGCUGUACUGCAGUGGCACAAUCAUGGCUUUCUGCAGACUCAACCUCCCUGGGCUCAGGUGAUCCUCCCACCUCAGCCUCCCAAGUAUCCAGGACUAUACCUGCACACCACCAUGCCCGGCUAAUUUUUUUGUUUUUUGUAGAGAUGGGGUUUCACCAUGUGGCCCAGGCUGGUCUCAAACUCCUGAGCUCAAGCGAUCCAGCUGCCUUGGCCUCCCAAAGGGGUGGGAUUACAGGAGUAUUUUUUUGUUUUGAGAUGGCGUCUCUGUCAGCCAGGCUGGAGUACAGUGGCAGAAUCUUGGCUCCCUGCAGCCUCUGUUUCCCAGGGUCAAGUGAUCCUCCCACCACACAUCAGAAUUCUCUCUCUGACAUCUAUCUAAUCAUACUGCCUUAUGAGUCUCUCAUUUCCCUGUCCCAUAUGGAAUGAAGUUCAAAUUUCGUAGUGCAGUCGGCACAGUCUUAAUAACCUAUUUUCUUUUUUUUUUUUUUUUUUGAGACGGAGUCUCGCUCUGUCACCUAGGCUGGAGUGCAGUGGCACGAUCUCGGCUCACUGCAAACUCCGCCACCCGGGUUCAUGCCAUUCUCCUGCCUCAGCCUCCCGAGUAGCUGGGACUACAGGCGCCCGCCACCAUGCCCGGCUAAUUUUUGUAUUUUUAGUAGAGACUGGGUUUCACCGUGUUAGCCAGGAUCGUCUCGAUCUCCUGACUUUGUGAUCCUGCCUCAGCCUCCCAAAGUGCUGGGAUUACAGCACCCGGCCUUAAUAACCUAUUUUCUUCCCAUACCUACCCUGCUACCUGUUUAGUCUCCUAUGCUGUUAUAACACCUUGCCACAAACUUAGUGGAUUAAAAGCACACAAAUGUAUUAUCUUACAGUAAUUGAGGCCAAAAGUCCAAACUGAGUAUGUGUGGUUGUUUUUUUAGAGACGGGGUCUUGCUCUGUCACCCAGGCUGGAGUACAGUGGCAUGAUUAUAGCUUACUGCAGCCUCAAACUCCUGCACUCAAGCGCUCCUACCCUCCUCAGCCUCCAGAGUAGCUGGGACUAUAAGUGCGUGCCACCUCUAGCUAAUUGUUUGAACAUUUUUAGUAGAGAUGAGAUCUCGCUCUGUCGCCCAGGCUGGAGUGCAGUGGUGUGAUCACGGCUCACUGCAGCCUUGAUUUCCCAGGCUCACGUAAUCUUCCCUCUUCAGCCUCCCCAGUAGCUGGGACAACAGGUGCGGGCUACUGCACCCAGCUAAUUUUUGUGUUUUUUGUAGAGACAGGGUUUCGCUAUGAUGCCUAGGCUGGCCUUGAACUCCUGGACUCAAGCAAUUUGCCCUCCUCGGCCUCUCAGAGUGCUGGGAUUACAGGUAUGAGCCACUGCACCCGGGUAAUUUUUAAAAAAUUUUUAGUAGAGACAAGGUCUUGCUGUGUCAUCCAGGCUGAUCUCGAACUCCUGGGCUCAAACCAUCUUCCCACCUGGGAUUUCACAGGUGUCAGUCACCCUGCCCGGCCCGAAAUGAGUUUUAGGAAGUUAAAUUCAAGGUGUUGGCCUGGCUGGUGUCUUCUCGGGGGUGCAGGGGAGAAGCUGAUCCUUGCCUUCCCCAGCUUCUAGAGGCUGCCUGCAAUCCUUGGCCCGCGAUCCACAUCACGUCACCUUUUCUCCCUCUACUUGCUUAGUCACACCACCUUCCACUGAACCUGUUCUCCCGCCUCCCUCUUAGGAGGAGGACAUGUGAUUGCAUUUAGGGCCCAUGUGGAUAAUGCAGGGUAACCUCCCCAUCCUAAGAUCAUUCGUUUCAUCACACCUGCAGAGUCUCUUCUGCUAUAUGAGGAUUAUUCACAGGCUCCAGGGUGAGGACAUGGAUAUCUUUGGGGGGCCAUUACUCUAUCCAACUACAUGACACCCACACUCUAGCCAGUGAGGAAUUCCUUCGCACUCUUAGGAUCCAUCAGGCAGUUCCCUCUGUGCCUUUGCUUCUGCUGAGUGACUCUAUGACUCUAUCCUAUGCCUUUCUACCCGCCAGUCUCUUUACUUCAAAGAUUGGCUCCAGGGCACUUAACUUUUGUAGCUUUCCUUCACCCUCACAGCCAGGAAGAAUUAAGUGCACCUGGCCGGGCACAGUGGCUCACGCCUGUAAUCCCAGCACUUUGGGAGGCCGAGGCAGGCGAAUCACCUGAGAUCAGAAGUUCAAGACCAGCCUGGCCAACAUGGCAAAACUCUGUCUCUAAUAAAAAUACAAAAAUUAGCCAGUGUGGUGGCAUGCACCUGUAAUCCCAGCUACUCAGGAGGCUGAGGCAGGAGAAUCACUUGAACCUGGGAGGUGGAGGUUGCAGUGAGCUGAGAUCAAGCCACUGCACUCCAGCCUGGGCAACAGAGUGAGACUCAGUCUCAAAAAAAAAAAAAAAGAAUGAAGUGCACCCUUUCUUGUGUUCCCACAGCAUGGCAUUUUAUGAUAGUGAAUCAUAGUAGCCAGUUUGCAUGUCUGAUCACUUGUUCAAAUGUGAAGUCAUUGGAAGGAGAGCACUAUCAUCCUAUAUCCUUGAUCAUCCUUUUUUGUUUUUUUAGUUGUUGUUGUUGUGUUGUUUUGAGACAGAGUCUCACUCUGUCGCCCAGGCUGGAGUACAAUGGUGCCAUCUUGGCUCACUGCAACCUCCACCUUCUGGGUUCAAGCGAUUCUCCUGCCUCAGCCUCCCGAGUUGCUUUUUUUUUUUUUUUUUUUGAGACAAAGUCUCGCUUAUGUCUCCCAGGCUGGAGUGCGAUGGUGCGAUCUCGGCUCACCUCUGCCUCCCGGGUUUGAGGGAUUCUCCUGCCUCAGCCUCCCGAGUAGCUGGGAUUACAGGCGCCUGCCACCACGCCCAGCUAAUUUUUGUAUUUUUAGUAGAGAUGGGGUUUCACCAUGUUGGCCAGGCUGGUCACGAACUCCUGACCUCAGGUGAUCCACCUACCUCGGCCUCCCAAAGUGCCGGGAUUACAGGCAUGAGCCACCGCACCCGGCGGUUUUUUUUUUUUGUUUUUUUUUUGUUUUUUUUUUGUUUUUUUUUUGAGACAGAGUCUUGCUCUGUUGCCCAGGCUAGAGUGAGUGCAGUGGUGCGAUCUCAGCUCACUGCAACCAGUGCCUCCCAGGUUCAAGCAAUUCUCCUGCCUCAGCCUCCUGAGUAGCUGGGAGUACAGUUGCCCACCAUCAUGCCUGGCUAAUUUUUUUGUAUUUUUGGUAGAGAUGGGGUUUCACCAUGUUGGCCAGGCCGGUCUCAAACUCCUGACCUCAAAUGAGCCACCGCGUCUGGCCUGAUCAUCCUUUUUGUUGUUGUUGUUGAUUAAAGACGGGGUCUCACUCUGUUGCCCAGGCUGGACUGUAGCAGUGUGAUCACAGUUCACUGUGGCCUCCAACUCCUGGACUCAAGCGAUCCUCCCACCUCAGCCUCCCAAGUAACUGGGACUUCAUUGUCCUUUUGGAUGCAUUUUGCAAGUGUGAAAGCACUGUCCAGUCCAGCUGAUGUAAUAGGUGCUAGCAUUGUUGAGGUGAAAAUGCCCAAUUGCUGCCUUCAAUUAUGCAACGUCUUCUUGGUUUUACUCUGCCUGGCCUUUGUUUCUUCAUCCAUUCCUUCGUUUAUUCCAGUAGCCCUUUGUUAAGGGGCUUCUCUGAGUGAGGCCUUGCAUAAAUGGAGGAAAGUUGUCCCCACUUUCAAAAUGCACACCAUCUAGCAGGGGGAGAAUCAUGAGCUCAGGGGCCAUGAGGGAACAGGAUGGGGGCCACUAACACUGCCUGCAGGAGAGCAGGGGUGGGAAGGCUCCAACACAGAGACACCAGCAGUGCUCACUGAGCUAUGCUAAGCACUACCUCAUUUAAUCCUGUCUAGGCGGGGCAGAUACUCUUAUUAUUGGCCUCAUUUUAUAGGCUGAAAUCAGAAAUGUUUAGAAAUGUCAAGUAACUCUCCCUAGAUCACAGAACCAGGCAGUAGCAGGGCUGGGAUUUGAACCCAAGAAGGCCAACUCCAGGACCAUGCAGAUAACCUCUGCACCACACUGUUCUGCCUUGACAGCACACCUGGUCCCUGGAGGUAGUGACACCAUGCUGCUCAUCUGUGACCCCCCCACCCCAGGGUACCUUGUACUUACUAGGCCCUAGAUGCAUAUUUAAGAAAAUAGUUUAUUUCCUGGCCAGGCGCGGUGGCUCACGCCUGUAAUCCCAGCGCUUUGGGAGGCUGAGGCGGACAGAUCACCUGAGAUCAGGAGUUCAAGAUCAGCCCGGCCAACAUGGUGAAACCUCUUCUCUACUAAAAAAUACAAAAAUUAGCCGGUGUGGUGGUGCAUACCUGUAGUCCCAGCUACUUGGGAGGCUGAGGUGGGAGAAUCGUGUAAACCUGGGAGGUGGAGGUUGCAGUGAGCCAAGAUCGUGCCACUGCACUCCAGCCUGGGUGACAGAGUGAGACUCCGUCUCACAAAAAAAAAAAAAAAAAAAAUUAUCCAGUCGUGGUGGCACACACCUGUAAUCCCAGCCACUCAGGAGGCUGAGACAUGAGAAUCACCUCAACCUUGGAGGCAGAGGUUGCAGUGAGCCAAGAUUGCCUCACUGUACUCCAGCCUGGGCAACAGAGCAAGACCCUGUCUCAAAAAAUAAAGCAUUAUUUCCUUAGUAUUAAUUAAUAUUGAUUUGAGAGCUCCUCUCCUGUUUCUGUGUGCCUAACACUCAUUGAACCCUGUGCUAAGAAUUUCACAGGCAUUAAGUCAUUUGAGCUUCAUAUCAGCCCUAUUGAGUGAGUAUUAUUACCCCCCGCUUUUUUUUUUUUUUUUUUGAGACUGGGUUUCACUCUGUCACCCAGGCACAAUCAUAGCUCACUGUAACCUUGAACUCCUGGGAUCCUCCCAGCUCAAUCUCCUGAGUAGCUGAAACUACAGGUAAGGGCCACCACCCCUGGCUUCUUCUUCUUAUUAUUUUUAUAGAGAUGGGGUCUCACUAUGUUGCUGGUCUAGAACUCCUGACCUCCAGUGAUCCUCCUGACUCGGACUCCCAAAGUGUUAGGAUUACAGGCGUGAACCACCACACCUGGCCAACCUACAUUUUACCGAGCGAGAAACUAAAGUACAACAAGAGUAAGGAAUUGGUUGCAGUUCACACAACUAGAAAAGGGAGAAAGAAGCUGGGAUUUGAACCUAAGUAGCACAAGCACUUAAUUACUUGUUUGUAAUGACUAUGCAAAACAGCUUGUUUAGAGGCUUAUUUCAUAGUAGAGAGAUGCUUUUGUAGAGAGGGAAUAUGGAAGGACAUAGAAAUUAGGAGGUAGGGCUGGGUGCAGUGGCUCAUGCCUAUAAUCCCAGCACUUUGGGAGGCCAAGGCGGGCAGAUCACUUGACCUCAGGAGUUCAAGACCAGCCUGACCAACAUGGUGAAACCUUGUCUCUACUAAAAAUACAAAAAUUAACCAGGUUUGGUGGCACAUGCCUGUAGUCCCAGCUACUUGAGAGGCUGAGGGAGGAAAAUCACUGGAACCUGGGAGGUGGAGGUUGUAGUGAGCCGAGAUUGCACCACUGCACUCCAGCCUAGGUGACAGAGCAAGAAUCCAUCUAAAAAAAAAAAAAAGAAAGAAAGAAAAAAGAAAUUAGGAGAUAGGAGAUCUGGGGUAUGACCCUAGCUCUGUAGUGUGACCAGGUAAACUCAACCUUUGCUCUGUCAUUUGGUCCACAAACACUGGGGAUACAGUGAAGAAAGAGGCAAAACCCUGGCUUCUGAGAUUUUAUAGUUUAGUGCAAGGAGGGAGGAAAAAUACAUGCAUAUAGAUGAACAGAACUGUUGCCGUGAAGGAAACAGUGUUGUGGCAAAGCGUAAUAGCAAAUGGCUGAACCAAGGAUGCUUCAGGGAACACUCACUUUAUUUAGCACGAGAAGGGAGAUUUGGGGAAAGCCUCUCUUAAGAGAAAACAUAUAAGUUGAGACCUGAAGUAAGAGAAGGCCUCAGUCAUUCAAAGGGUUCAGGAGGUCAUUCCUGCAAGAACAGUACAUGCAAAGGUCCUGAGGUUGGAAAGAGCUUAAAAAGUCAAAGCCAGCCGGGCGCGGUGGCUCAUGCCUGUAAUCCCAGCCCUUUGGGAGGCCAAGGUGGGUGGAUCAUGAGGUCAAGAGAUUGAGACCAUCCUGGCCAACAUGGUAAAACCCCAUCUCUACUAAAAAUACAAAAACUAGCUUGGUCUGGGAUUACAGGUGCCCACCACCACCCCCAGCUAAUUUUGUAUUUUUAGUAGGGAUGGGUUUUCUCCAUGUUGGCCAGGCUGGUCUCAAACUCCCGACCUCAGGUGAUAUGCCCACCUUGGCCUCCCAAAGUGCUGGGAUUACAGGCGUGAGCCACUGUGCCCGGCUGGAGAUAGGGUUUUUAACAGAAGUAACCAAGUUAAAAUAAGGUCAUUAGGAUGUAUCCUGACCCAAUAUGACUGGUGUCUUAAAAGAAGGAAUAGACACAUGCACACAGGGGAACGCCAUGUGAACAUCAAGGCAGAGAUCUUUGCUGGGUACUUUUCAUGAAUUUGGCUGGGAUAACUGGGCUUGCUUGGCUCGCAUCCAUGUGGUCUCUCAUCCACCAGCAGACUAACCUGGGCUUGUUUUCCUAGAGGUUGGGCAGGGUUUUGAGACAGAAUAGAAUUUUAAAAGGCCUCUUGAGGCUCAGAACUAUCACAGUAUUGCCGGGUGCAGUGGCUCACGCCUGUAAUCCCAGCACAUUGGGAGGCCGAGGCAGGCAGAUCACUUGAGGCCAGGGGUUCGAGACCAGCCUGGGCAACAUGGUGAAACCCUGUCUCUACUAAAAAUACAAAAAUUAGCUGGGUAUGGUAGCACAUGCCUGUAUUCCCAUGAGGCUGAGGCAGGAGAAUCGUUUGAACCUGGGAGGCAGAGGCUGCAGUAAACUGAGAUUGUGCCACUGCACUCCAGCCUGGGCGACAGAGCAGGACUCCAUCUCAAAAAAAAAAACAAAACAAAAAAAAACCGAAAACAAAAAACUGUCACAGUGUCACUUUUGCUGAAGCAAAAGUUGUGGUCUAAAGCAAGUCACAAUACUAGCCCAGAUUCAGUGGGGUGGAGAUGCUGCAGAGUCACAUUGUGGGGGGAAUAGUGAGCCAUUUUUUGCACACAGUCUACCAUCGUGGCCUUCCCUGACUAUCCUACCUAACACAGCCCUCCCCUCCAUCCCAAUUACACUGUUUUACCUUUUUUCCUGGCAUUUACCAUUAUCUGAAAUUUUAUAUAUUAAUAAUUUUGUUUCUUUUCAGGAUGGCAGUGCCUGGACUCUUGGCCUUCAUUGCCAUAUCCCCAGAACCUAGGCAGUGUCUAGCACUUAUUAGGCCCUGAAGGAAUUUUUGAAAGAAUAAAGAAAUCAUGUAAAAAGAAUAUGCAUGCUGGGCACAGUGGCUCACACCUGUAAUCCCAGCACUUUGGGAGGCCAAUGAGGGCAGAUCAUUUGAGGUCAGGAGUUGGAGACCAACAUGCCCAACAUAGUGAAACCCGGUCUCUACUAAAAAUACAAAAGUUAGCUGUGUGUGGUGGCAUGUGCCUGUAAUCCCAGCUACUCAGGAGGCUGAGGCAGGAGAAUCACUUGAACCUGGGAGACAGAGGUUGCAAUGAGCUGAGAUUGUGCCACUGCACUCCAACCUGGGUGACAGAGCGAGACUCUAUCUCAAAAAAAAAAAAAAGAAUAUGCAUAGAAAAUACCAGAUGAUUAGCUGGGUGUGGUGGUGUGUGCCUGUAGUCCCAGCUACUUGGGAGGCUAAGGUGAAAUAAUUGCUUGAUCUUGGAAGGUUGAGGCUGCAGUAAGCUGUGAUCAUGCCACUGCACUCCAGCCUGAGUGACAGAGCAAGACCCUGUCUCAAAACAAACAAACAAAAAUACCAGAAGAAACAUACUCUAAAGUGUUAAUAACUUCCUCUGUUGAGAUAACCAUUUAAUUUUCUUUAUGUUUUUCUGUUUAAAAAAUAUAACAUUGUAUUUUUUAACAGGGGAGAUAGAAAUAUUCUACACAUCUUGAUUUGGGUAGUGAUUACAUGGGUAUAUACAAUUCUCAAAACUCUUUGAACUGAGC
rnacentral:lncRNA from 1 species